rnacentral:rRNA from 1 species
UACGUAGGGAGCAAGCGUUGUUCGGAUUUACUGGGCGUAAAGGGCGCGUAGGCGGCGCGGUAAGUCACUCGUGGAAUCUCUGAGCUUAACUCAGAACGGCCAAGUGAUACUGCAGUGCUAGAGUGCAGAAGGGGCAAUCGGAAUUCUUGGUGUAGCGGUGAAAUGCGUAGAUAUCAAGAGGAACACCUGAGGUGAAGACGGGUUGCUGGGCUGACACUGACGCUGAGGCGCGAAAGCCAGGGGAGCAAACGGG